CUCCCGGUGAAAACCCUAGCCGCACCCGUGUCCCUCCGUUUCUCCUCUUCCUAGCGUUCCUCGCUGGCGGCUGCCGAGUCUCCGCCUCGUUCCUCCUCUUCGCCGCGCCUCCGCCUCCCACCUCAGCCGACGGUCGUCCUGGCUCUUCCCCUCGGCAUAGACAGAGCGGUUCAUGCUGCCGCCGCCGCAAAAAUCUAGGUGGGACACGGGCCACUGAUAGAGCUGCUGCUACUCUCUGUCUUUUCCUCUUCGCGGGAGGCGAGAGGAGCCACAGCUGGUUGUACGCCUGCCAGACGAGCUGGUGGUGUCCGGCCGGCCGGAGCAGCACAGGCUGCCGCUUGCACUGCCGGCGCUUGGAGGAGUGGCUGAUGAGCUCCAUCCACCCUACAUGUCUCCUAUUUUCUCUUGCCUCGAAAGUUUUCAUGUGCACUAGACUUUUAAUUCUUAGCCGAGUUCAGUUAACUAUAUCAAAAUAAUUAUAUUUACCUGCAUUUUCCGUGUCUUCUUAUCUGCGAAGUGCUAUCCCUGAUUUGAAUAGAUUGAUGCUUAACAUAGUUUUAUACUAACUGUUUGCAGGUGCAAAAGGUAGGUGAUCCGCGGCAAGACGUGCCCCAAUCACAAGACAAAUAAAUGAGUAAUCUGUUAGAUGUUUUUUCUGCAGUAGUCUUGAAACUUCUAACAAGAUUUAGCAAGCAUGUACAUGCUAAACUAGAAAUUAGCUAUAUAAUUACUUUGUUAUGCAUACCUACUCUGUGGUAGUCUCAUUUUGGACAAAAAAUUAAAAAUUGAGAUGUGCGUAAUUACUCGCUAUAGCCCAUGACCCACUGAUGUUGAGAGAGAUAGAGAGAGAGAGAUGUUAUGCAGACCACAUGGAUAAGGUUGUAGAGUAGGACUAUAUCUCAUGGGUUCUUCCUUAUUUUUCACUAUUUGAUAGUGUUUUUCCUGCUUAUUAAAUACAUAUUACACAUCCAACUCCUGAUCUCACGGGAUACAUUACUGAAGGACAGAUAUACAUUUACAGACAGCUCCAUAACAGAUGGGUGCUUUUGUUUGUUCUCUUGUUAGUUAGCAAAGACAACCUCAUCAAAUAGUAAGUUAUUAAUAUGCAAUUUUGAGCAUAUAUCUACUAGCGCUCCCAAAUAGCUAAGAGUGAAUUUCCAAUUCAGUGUAGCAUGUGUUUUGAAUUUCACUAAUAUUGGCUGGUGACUAGGUCGGGUGGAUUGAGAAUCCCAAUAACAAGUUCCAUUCAGAAAAUGUCAGCUUUGUCAAAAUGGCAUUUGCUUAUAAAAAACACUACCGACUCCAUUAUCAUUAUGCUUCAGUUAUGUGCCUCCAUGGUUUCAAGAAAUAAUUUUUGUGCUUCAGAUAAACUAAUGCUAUCAUAUCUCAUGUGUGUCUUAUUGAAAAUAACAAUACAAGAAAUUGUCUUGAUCCGCACAAGCUUUCCUGGACUCUUGAGUUGGCAAAGGUUAAUAUAAUUGUUCCUGAACCUCAAGGCACAACAUUAAAAUUUGUGUCUAAUAACUGGUUGAUAUUUAGAUGGAUGACUAUUGCGAAAUAUACCUAAUAUUUUCCAAGUUCAUUUCUCCAUUUUCUCAAGCAGCAACAAAAUGUUGAUAUUUAUACUAGGAAGAGUGCUUCUAUUUUUUUCAUCAUUACGUCCAUCCGUGCACCAAAAGAAUGCAAUUGGUUCUCUGUUCUUGGACAAGCGGUAGAAGAAAGUGAAACGAGAAUUGUCAUUUUAUUAUUUGACUGCAGAAUACCUGUAGUUUGCUUCUGUAAGAUUUUGAAAUGUUUGUACUAUUAUUUUUAUAAGUUUUAAUUAUAGUUAUAUUUUUAUUGUACUUUUUUUACCUUUGCCUUCAAUAACUGUUAAAAUCUUAAGUGGAGAAAUUUCGUAUAGAGAGGAACGGAAGAACUUCCUUAUUCUAAUCAACAUGGAUGAAAAUGCAGUGUCUGAACUUUUUUAGCAGUGCAAAUGACAUACUAGAAAUGUGCCCUUGGGAGUCUUAUUGUGGGCAGACAGGUUUGCUGAAAUUUGGAAUUAUGUUCUUCCAUGUGUACAUUCAUUUUGGAAAUACUUUUCCUAUGCAUGUAUCCAUAUUUUGUAACUGUUCCUCUGCAGUUCGUGGGAUGAUGUAUUAUAGGAAGGCCCUUAUGUUGCAAAGUUAUCUGGAGAGAAUGCAUUCUGAAGAUAUUUCCACUAGCUUCCUUGUGGGACACAUAAAUUCUAUAUUUUAACAACGUGCAUGUAACAUCAUUUUCUGAUGUUUUUCUUUGCUACACCACGAAUCUGCAUUUGAUAUGGCUGGUCUGGCUGACCCCAGAAGCACGAGCACCUGGUGAUUUGAAGUUUACGGAUAUGUUGUGGUUAUUUGCCAAAAUUAUGGAUUACACGAAGGGGAAGGGAAACAAGAAGCUGCUAAUAUAGCCCUUCUAAUGCAAAGAAAUGAAGCUCUCAUGAUUGCUUAUAUUGAUGUUUUCGAGAUUAUUAAAAAUGGAAAUCCUAGCACUGAGUAUUACUCGAAGCUUGUUAAAGCUGGCAUCCAUGGAAAGGACAAGGUUAGUGGCAACUGGUUUUGGAUGCCUUUCCUCCUAUCUAAUACCGUAUUGCUAUUGUCGAGUAUCUGAAGCACUAUGUUAACUGUUCGUAAUCUUAGGGUUGAGCUGUUAUUUUCCCUUGUCACACCUUUAGUGGCUACAGUAUGUUAGUUCCUGAAGAUUAUUCUGGUCCGUUGAGUGCAGUUCUCAUAUCCUUAUACUUGAUGACUAUGGCCUUGGGCUAAGGUUGAUAGAGCUUGAUUUUCAUAUGCAUUCCAUUCCAUCAAAUGCAUUGGCCACCACCAAUUUAUGCAAUGGUAUACCUGACUAUAUCUCCUUAUUUGCUCUGCAUCAUGAUAACAAGUUGCUACUUAUCAAUUUAUCACAUUUUGUUACUAAGGUUUCAUUAUCACAAAUUUCUAUUGUAAGACAUUACAUAGUAGUGAUGGUUCACAUAGUGUUCUACCUAGCGAUUACCAGUAAGAUUUGUGUUGUUUAGUCAAGUCUUUAGUGAUUUAUAUGGUCUGGCAAACAAAACCGUUAUUUCUACAAUGACCUGCUUUACUGUGAUGUGACCCAAACCAGGCUACCUCUUUUGGUUCACAGUUGAUUUUGAGCUUCUCUUUGUUCUUCGUGGAUGAAAACUAAACAGAUGUAUCACAAGCAUUUGCAGCUGGUUAGCUAGAACUACUAAUGAUGUUCCAGUUUCAACCAUAUACCUUUCGCCCCUACUAUGCCAUCAAUACAUAUGUUGUAUAAGCGUAGCUCUACAAUUGUAGAACAAUCAUGGUAUUCCUUGAUUCUGUUUACACAGAUCUUAUGCCUGAUAUUAUUUCCUCGCGCCAAAUUUCACGUUUAUCCAGCGAUAGUACAUGGAAUUGUGCCAGAAAAAGAUAUUAAAGGACUACUACUAUGCUUGUGUCAAAAAGAAGCAAGACUGGUGAAUGUCUCUGCAACAAGUGACCGAAUAAUGAAGUAAAACUAAGCAGCUUAGCAAGAGCUGGAUUACUUCGUACAUGAUGUGUCACGUCUUCCAAUCAGAUUAUUAACAAUAUAAUUCAAGAAACGGAUCGCAUGGAGAGUCUGACUUCGAUAGUAAUGUCAAUUCAAUUCUGGUUGAAGUAGACAAAGCUUCUUCUGACCUUGAGCAGUUCACCUUCCAAGCAACCCAAUUUAUGUGUGUAAACCUUAUGUAUAUAGAUACAUGUGUUCUACUUUAGAACCAAAUAGUAUAUGUAUAUAGAUACAUGUGUUUCCCCACUUGCUCUGCAUCUACUUAACAAGUGACUACUCAUAGAACUGCUCGGCUUUUGUCAACCGAGCUUUCAUCUACUUUGCUCUAACUUAGCCUAUCUCUUUUAUACAUAUGUAAUAUAGUUCCUUGUUUUUCCUUGCGGAUUCCA